AGGGUCUAUGGGCGGAGCUGAUGCAGCGACGCCGCGUGAGGGAUGACGGCCUUCGGGUUGUAAACCUCUUUCAGUAGGGAAGAAGCGAGAGUGACGGUACCUGCAGAAGAAGCGCCGGCUAACUACGUGCCAGCAGCCGCGGUAAUACGUAGGGCGCAAGCGUUGUCCGGAAUUAUUGGGCGUAAAGAGCUCGUAGGCGGUUUGUCGCGUCUGCUGUGAAAGCCCGGGGCUCAACCCCGGGUCUGCAGUGGGUACGGGCAGACUAGAGUGCAGUAGGGGAGACUGGAAUUCCUGGUGUAGCGGUGAAAUGCGCAGAUAUCAGGAGGAACACCGAUGGCGAAGGCAGGUCUCUGGGCUGUUACUGACGCUGAGGAGCGAAAGCAUGGGGAGCGAACAGGAUUAGAUACCCUGGUAGUCCAUGCCGUAAACGUUGGGCACUAGGUGUGGGGGACAUUCCACGUUUUCCGCGCCGUAGCUAACGCAUUAAGUGCCCCGCCUGGGGAGUACGGCCGCAAGGCUAAAACUCAAAGGAAUUGACGGGGGCCCGCACAAGCGGCGGAGCAUGCGGAUUAAUUCGAUGCAACGCGAAGAACCUUACCAAGGCUUGACAUUCACCGGACCGCCCCAGAGAUGGGGUUUCCCUUCGGGGCUGGUGGACAGGUGGUGCAUGGUUGUCGUCAGCUCGUGUCGUGAGAUGUUGGGUUAAGUCCCGCAACGAGCGCAACCCUCGUUCUAUGUUGCCAGCACGUGAUGGUGGGGACUCAUAGGAGACUGCCGGGGUCAACUCGGAGGAAGGUGGGGAUGACGUCAAAUCAUCAUGCCCCUUAUGUCUUGGGCUUCACGCAUGCUACAAUGGCCGGUACAAAGAGUUGCGAUACUGUGAGGUGGAGCUAAUCCCAAAAAGCCGGUCUCAUUUCGAAUGAAGUCUGCAACUUCGACCUUCUAGAGUUCCGGAUU
rnacentral:rRNA from 1 species